rnacentral:rRNA from 1 species
CCUACGGGAGGCAGCAGUAGGGAAUAUUGGACAAUGGGGGCAACCCUGAUCCAGCCAUGCCGCGUGAGUGAAGAAGGCCCUCGGGUUGUAAAGCUCUUUUGUCCGGAAAGAAAAGCAAUCGGUUAAUACCCGGUUGUCCUGACGGUACCGGAAGAAUAAGCACCGGCUAACUUCGUGCCAGCAGCCGCGGUAAUACGAAGGGUGCAAGCGUUACUCGGAAUUACUGGGCGUAAAGCGUGCGUAGGUGGUUCGUUAAGUCUGAUGUGAAAGCCCUGGGCUCAACCUGGGAAUGGCAUUGGAUACUGGCGGGCUAGAGUGCGGUAGAGGGUAGUKGAAUUCCCGGUGUAGCAGUGAAAUGCGUAGAGAUCGGGAGGAACAUCUGUGGCGAAGGCGACUGCCUGGACCAGCACUGACACUGAGGCACGAAAGCGUGGGGAGCAAACAGGAUUAGAUACCCUGGUAGUCCACGCCCUAAACGAUGCGAACUGGAUGUUGGGUUCAACUUGGAACUCAGUAUCGAAGCUAACGCGUUAAGUUCGCCGCCUGGGGAGUACGGUCGCAAGACUGAAACUCAAAGGAAUUGACGG